UACAGAGGGUGCGAGCGUUAAUCGGAGUUACUGGGCGUAAAGGGCGCGUAGGCGGUUGUAAGGGUGUGAUGUGAAAGCCCCGGGCUUAACCUGGGAAGCGCAUCGCAAACCGUACAGCUGGAGUAUAUGAGAGGGUGGCGGAAUUUCCGGUGUAGCGGUGAAAUGCGUAGAGAUCGGAAGGAACGUCAAUGGCGAAGGCAGCCACCUGGCAUAAUACUGACGCUGAGGCGCGAAAGCGUGGGGAGCGAACAGG
rnacentral:rRNA from 1 species